rnacentral:rRNA from 1 species
GCCUACAACAUAACAUUAAUGCAUUGGAUCCCAUUAAAAAUCCACAAUUAAACGCACUCAGGUUAGAGUAGUAUUGGGAUGGGUGAUCGCUCAGGAAGUCCUAGUGUUUUAUAUGCC